CCUACGGGUGGCUGCAGUGAGGAAUAUUGGUCAAUGGACGAGCGUCUGAACCAGCCAAGUAGCGUGAAGGAUGACUGCCCUAUGGGUUGUAAACUUCUUUUAUAUGGGAAUAAAAUGUUCCACGUGUGGGAUUUUGUAUGUACCAUAUGAAUAAGGAUCGGCUAACUCCGUGCCAGCAGCCGCGGUAAUACGGAGGAUCCGAGCGUUAUCCGGAUUUAUUGGGUUUAAAGGGAGCGUAGGUGGAUUGUUAAGUCAGUUGUGAAAGUUUGCGGCUCAACCGUAAAAUUGCAGUUGAAACUGGCAGUCUUGAGUACAGUAGAGGUGGGCGGAAUGCGUGGUGUAGCGGUGAAAUGCUUAGAUAUCACGAAGAACUCCGAUUGCGAAGGCAGUUCACUGGACUGCAACUGACACUGAGGCUCGAAAGUGUGGGUAUCAAACAGGAUUAGAUACCCUUGUAGUC
rnacentral:rRNA from 1 species